UGCGGUGUCGUCUAAUUGGCAGGACAGCAGGUUCUGGCCCUGCAGAUCGAGGUUCGAAUCCUUGCACCGCAGCCA
rnacentral:tRNA from 1 species